UACGGGGGGAGCAAGCGUUGUUCGGAUUUACUGGGCGUAAAGGGCGCGUAGGCGGUCAGCACAAGUCAGUUGUGAAAUCUCCGGGCUUAACUCGGAAAGGUCAACUGAUACUGCUUUGCUAGAGUGCGGAAGGGGCAAUCGGAAUUCUCGGUGUAGCGGUGAAAUGCGUAGAUAUCGAGAGGAACACCUGAGGUGAAGACGGGUUGCUGGGCCGACACUGACGCUGAGGCGCGAAAGCCAGGGUAGCAAACGGG
rnacentral:rRNA from 1 species